AGUGAAAUUACUGGGUCAUAGGGUUAGAGCGGUUACAACUUUAUAAGAAACUGCCAAACUCUUCCCAGAGUGGCUGUACCAUUCUGCAUUCCCACUAGAAAU
rnacentral:pre_miRNA from 1 species